rnacentral:lncRNA from 1 species
AGUUUCUUAAGAACUUAUCUAUUUGUGAUAUAAUCUGAUAAAGUCAGCUAAAUUAUGUCAUUUUUGAAAUGUUACUUGCAGGUUUAUGAAUUUCAUCAGGAAGAGAAAUGUGAAAAAAACUCGGGAGCCAGACUCCAACAAUAGCUGUAGGAAAGCCUUGGUUCCUUCCCAGCAGUCUUCACCAUUCUUGGCAGCCAACAGCAAGUCGUCCACGUAUUGUAGCAACCAGCAUCUGAACUUCUCUGGCUGGAAGGAGUCCAGGUCGGAAGCCAAGGCUUCCCCAAAGAUGGUUAGGGAAUUCUUAAAUCCUGCGGGAGGAGUCCAGUACUCGCCAGAAGGGGUGGAUACAAUCUAGGAGGUCUGGCUGAGGUGGAAUCCUGAGGGCAUUGACCAGAGGUCUCCAUCGCUGGGAUCGGAGCCUGCCAUAAAGGUGGCUCUACGAUCUCCAGGAGAGCUGGUAGAGGAGCAGCGGCUGUUGCAGGAACUCCACGUGACCCUGGAUUGGACAUUAAAGUGGCCACUGGUCCUGGUGAAGCACUGGGCGGUGGGCACGUCAUGAUCCAGUAUAGGGGAGGGGGCAAGGCAUCCCCAGCCAAACCCUGAAGAAUUUCUUUUUUAUCAUUAGUCAAUUUUUGAGCUGUUAAUAUUGCUCCUUUCCCUAUCUUGAUAUACAAUCUCAUCUAAGGGGGGCGGGGCGGGGGGUCUUGAGGUAAUCCUAGCCAUGAGUCAAUAUAUGGAAUUGAUCUGGAUAUCCCGGCUCUCCUGUGACUACUGUAUAGACUGC